CAUUAAAGAGUUCUAUAACUCCCAAACCCAUGUGAACAUACCUAACGUUGCCUCGGCAGGUCGCACCUACCUUGUAGCACCCUACCCUGUAGGGCCUACCCGGGAGGUGCGGGUAAGCCUGCCGGCGGCCCACCAAACUCUGUUUGAUAUUGAAUUCUGAACCUAUAACUAAAUAAGUUAAAACUUUCAACAACGGAUCUCUUGGUUCUGGCAUCGAUGAAGAACGCAGCGAAAUGCGAUAAGUAAUGUGAAUUGCAGAAUUCAGUGAAUCAUCGAAUCUUUGAACGCAUAUUGCGCCCAUUAGUAUUCUAGUGGGCAGGACCGUUCGAGCGUCAUUUCAACCCUUAAGCCUUCGUUGCUUAGUGUUGGGAGCCUACGGCAACGUAGCUCCUCAAAGUUAGUGGCGGAGUUGGUUCACACUCUAGACGUAGUAAUUUUUUAUCUCGCCUAUUAGUUGGACUAAUCCCCUGCCGUAAAACCCCCAAUUUAUCAAGGUUGACCUCGAAUCGGUUCAGACAAACUCGCUAAAUUGAAGCAUCUUAGUCAGCGAAGGAAAAGAAACCAACAGGGAUUGCCCUAGUAACGGCGAGUGAAGCGGCAACAGCUCAAAUUUGAAAUCUGGCCCUCGGGUCCGAGUUGUAAUUUGUAGAGGAUGCUUUUG
rnacentral:rRNA from 1 species